rnacentral:rRNA from 1 species
AUGAACGCUGGCGGCGUGCCUAAUACAUGCAAGUCGAGCGAACGGACGAGAAGCUUGCUUCUCUGAUGUUAGCGGCGGACGGGUGAGUAACACGUGGAUAACCUACCUAUAAGACUGGGAUAACUUCGUGAAACCGGAGCUAAUACCGGAUGAUAUUUUGAACCGCAUGGUUCAAAAGUGAAAGACGGUCUUGCUGUCACUUAUAGAUGGAUCCGCGCUGCAUUAGCUAGUUGGUAAGGUAACGGCUUACCAAGGCAACGAUGCAUAGCCGACCUGAGAGGGUGAUCGGCCACACUGGAACUGAGACACGGUCCAGACUCCUACGGGAGGCAGCAGUAGGGAAUCUUCCGCAAUGGGCGAAAGCCUGACGGAGCAACGCCGCGUGAGUGAUGAAGGUCUUCGGAUCGUAAAACUCUGUUAUUAGGGAAGAACAUAUGUGUAAGUAACUGUGCACAUCUUGACGGUACCUAAUCAGAAAGCCACGGCUAACUACGUG